ACGUCGUCGCCUCGACAAUUUAUUUUGUUUAAAUUGGGCGCCAAUAUGUUACGAACUGCUUUUUUUUGGUGGCAGUGCCGCUAGCUCAGUCUUUUCUCAAGGCAGAGUACCCCUAAUGCCACAGCUCGCAACAUAAAUAUCGAUAACUUCACGGUCUCACAUUACUAAUCGGUUAUCACUAAUGACAAAAAAAAACGUAAUCAAAGCAAAAAUCUACAAAUAUUGACGGGAAAAUGGAUUACAUUUGGUGGCUAUCGGUGACCUAGCCAAGCGCUCCCACCCAACCAUGGGUGCCCUCGAGGCGCUGCAGGGCACCACCCAUUCUCUGUCGGCAGGAGCCCCCUCCUCGCGACUACGACGGUUCCAUCUCCCCCACUGGGAAAGCUUACUCACACAUUGUGGGUAUUACAAAGGUUUAAUAAAUAUCCCUUUAAGACCUAAACCUGGCCGCCGUCUCGGAUAUUUACGCGGUCAAAGCAGAGGAUUUGUUUUGGCUGGAAAAGCGUACAGGCGCCGCGGAAACUAUGCUCUACCAGUCAUGUAUUGGUAGAGCUCGCAUGGAAACGCGGCCCUCAAAGGAACAUGCGCGAUGCGCGUGUGUAUGGUCACCUAAUUCUGAGGAGCUCAAGGGGAAAAGAAGGGACAGGCCAAAAAGGCAAACAACGAGGACAAAUAAGGCUCUCGAGUCUAACUCCGGAUAAAUUCACAAACAGGGAACCACUGUUGGGCCGGGCCUGGAGGCGAUGAUAGCCCGGGCUGAUGACUUCCAGCCGGAGGCCAGCAGCGAUACAGGUCUCCAGGAAAGAAAACUGGCGCUCUCCGGUGAGUUAUGCAAGGGCAGUCUGAGGUUCGGCCGCCCGACAAAAUGGCGGUACCUCUCAACGCCGCGAUGCGACGGCUGGAAGUCCCCGAGAUGAGGUGGACGCGGUACACCGGAACGGACUCACCGGGAAAUGUUUGAUGUCGUCGGCGUCGACUGCGAAGACUGCUUUUCUGGGUGGUCGUCGGUACGGGUCGAACGGCCACCGGUUGCUGGGCAGCCAAGUCGGGCUGGUAGGUAUGGCGAAGUCGCGCAAAUGUCAGUAGAACUCCAAAUAAAUAUUCCGGGGCCCUUUGUGUUGGGACCCCGGCUGCCUUUAUAAAUGAUAAAUAUUAAAUACCG